rnacentral:rRNA from 1 species
GUCUGACCUGCCCACUGAAAUUAUUUAAAUGGCCGCAGUAUUCUAACUGUGCAAAGGUAGCAUAAUCAUUAGUCUUUUAAUUGAAGGCUGGUAUGAACGGUUGGACGAGGUAUAAGCUGUUUCAUAUAAAUUUAUAAUAGAAUUUUAUAUUUUAGUCAAAAAGCUAAAAUUUUAUUAAAAGACGAGAAGACCCUAUAAAUCUUUAUAUUUUGUGUUGUUUAAAUUUUUUAGAUUUAUUUUAUUUUUAUAAUUUAAAGUAUUUUGUUGGGGUGAUAUUAAAAUUUGAUGAACUUUUAAUUAUUUAAGAUCAUUAAUUUAUGAUUUAUUGAUCCAUUAGUAGUGAUUAUAAGAUUAAGUUACUUUAGGGAUAACAGCGUAAUUUUUUUGGAGAGUUCUUAUCGAUAAAAAAGUUUGCGACCUCGAUGUUGGAUUAAGAUAUAUUUUUAGGUGUAGCUGCUUAAAU